AAGAUUUCUGUUAUUAACAUCAAUAUAAUUACUUGAUAAAUUUUACUUUAAAAAAGCAAAAUUAUGUUAUUGAGCUGGAAUUAGAGUUUGAAUAGUAAAACAUUUGAUAAAUAUCUGUGUAUACUUGAGAAAAAUACUGAUUUGAUUGUUUUGAUCCUAUAUUUCAAAUAAUGCAGCCCCUAGCAUUUGGAAAUAGUUUCCAUCUAAUAUGAAACUUAGAAAAUGUCGUAAGGAUAUAAACCGCACCACUGUUUUUAAUCAGUCAGACAUUCCACCAGUAUUACCUCAUAUAUAUAUAUAAAAUAUACACAAAUGGCCCAAGAGAAACAGGUUGGUUCUGCAUGUAUUUGUAUUAUGCUACUGGAAAUUCCUUGCCACCAUCACCUUCUGUCUAUACUACUGAACAGCAUGCUAUUUAUUUUGCUCUCCACUGUUUUACAGAAGCAGCAGCACAGUAUUAUAUAUUAUGAUCAUUGUGCUCUACAAGUACUAACAGAUAUCUAUUCCAACAUACACAGGUCUUAGAUAUUUAAAUUACUAUAUGAUCUUUCUGCACUUUCUUUUACUGUUUUUCUGAACUCCUAGACAUGUGGAAAUAUGAGGGAAUAAGAUUGCAGACAUGACUGCAAAGAACCUGUAUAUGUAUCAUUGUCAAUCUCCCAGAUAUUCCAUUAUGAAUUUCCAUGAAUAGUCCUCUAUGAAAAAUUUGUCAAUUUUUAUUGAGCAGAAAAAUUUCAAAUAAAUUAUACAGCAUUAAACCUGUGCUUGUAGAUUGGCAUUCUUCUGCCCAGAAGAGUUGUAAAGAGGAAAUGGUUCUGGUUUGCUUGAGAAUGUCACUGCGGGCCACCUCGUUUGCUUCUUUUGAAAAAGAAUCCUGUUGUUUUCGUUUGGUGUAAGUAGUUAGCCCCUGGCCACUAUGUGGCCAAAUAUACCAAAAAUGUAAUAAUUUUUUUUUUUCUUAUCUGUAAAAUUUUGAGAUUUUUCAUUUAUUCUUGUAUAAAACAUUUGUUUUCUUUCUCCAGACCAAACUUUGAAAUUUUCUUUUACAUGAAACUGGCAACUAACAAACUA
rnacentral:lncRNA from 1 species